rnacentral:rRNA from 1 species
GGGACGGAGGCCUUCGGGUCGUAAACCACUUUCAGCAGGGAAGAGUCAAGACUGUACCUGCAGAAGAAGCCCCGGCUAACUACGUGCCAGCAGCCGCGGUAAUACGUAGGGGGCGAGCGUUAUCCGGAUUCAUUGGGCGUAAAGCGCGCGUAGGCGGCCCGGCAGGCCGGGGGUGGAAGCGGGGGGCUCAACCCCCCGAAGCCCCCGGAACCUCCGCGGCUUGGGUCCGGUAAGGGAGGGUAGAACACCCGGUGUAGCGGUGGAAUGCGCAGAUAUCGGGUGGAACACCGGUGGCGAAGGCGGCCCUCUGGGCCGAGACCGACGCUGAGGCGCGAAAGCUGGGGGAGCGAACAGGAUUAGAUACCCUGGUAGUCCCCAGCCGUAGGCGAUGGACGCUGGGUAUGGGGAGAAGAUCCCCCGAUGCCGCAGCCAACGCAUUAGGCGUCCCGCCUGGGGAGUACGGCCGCAAGGCUAAAACUCAAAGGAAUUAACGGGGGCCCGCACAAGCAGCGGAGCAUGUGGCUUAAUUCGAAGCAACGCGAAGAACCUUACCAGGGCUUGACAUAUGGGUGAAGCGGGGGAGACCCCGUGGCCGAGAGGAGCCCAUACAGGUGGUGCAUGGCUGUCGUCAGCUCGUGUCGUGAGAUGUUGGGUUAAGUCCCGCAACGAGCGCAACCCCCGCCGCGUGUUGCCAUCGGGUGAUGCCGGGAACCCACGCGGGACCGCCGCCGUCAAGGCGGAGGAGGGCGGGGACGACGUCAAGUCAUCAUGCCCCUUAUGCCCUGGGCUGCGCACGUGCUACAAUGGCCGGUACAGAGGGAUGCCACCCCGCGAGGGGGAGCGGAUCCCGGAAAGCCGGCCCCAGUUCGGAUUGGGGGCUGCAACCCGCCCCCAUGAAGUCGGAGUUGCUAGUAAUCGCGGAUCAGCAUGCCGCGGUGAAUGCGUUCCCGGGCCUUGCACACACCGCCCGUCAAG